UUUGUGCACAAGGCACUUGGGUGCAAACAUGAACAAAACAGGCUCACACUGUCUCAGCCCUCACGGGGCUUAGUCUAGUCGGGGAAGACAGACUCAUUUGAAACAGUUGGGAAACGCUGUGAUGAGGGAGCACAGGGAGCUUUGGAAGCAGCAGAUUAGUCUCCUGCCUUAGGCUUGGCAGUGUCAGGACUCCUUCAGGAUAGUGGUGCUGUCUACACUGAGACCUAAAAAAUGAGGAGGAGUUAGCCACGGAAAGAUGGGGAAAAGGGAGAAGGGGUUUACCUGGGUGCAGUGGCUUGCUCCUAUAAUCCUAGCACUUGCCCGGGCACGGUGGCUCACGCCUGUAAUCCCAGCACUUUGAGAGGCCGAGGCGGGUGGAUCAUGAGGUCAAGAGAUCGAGACCAUCCUGGUCAACAUGGUGAAACCCCGUCUCUACUAAAAACACAAAAAAUUAGCUGGGCAUGGUGGUGCGUGCCUGUAAUCCCAGCUACUCAGGAGGCUGAGGCAGGAGAAUUGCCUGAACCCAGGAGGCGGAGGUUGCGGUGAGCCGAGAUCGCGCCAUUGCACUCCAGCCUGGGUAACAAGAGUGAAACUCCGUCUCAAAAAAAACAAAAAAAAUUAGCCGGACAUGGUGGUGGACCCCUGUAAUCCCAGCUACUUGGGAGGCUGAGACAGGAGAAUCACUUGAACCUGGGAGGUAGAGGUUGCAGUAAACUGAGAUGAUGCCACUGCACUCCAGCCUGGGUGAUAGAGCGAGACUCUGUUUCAAAACAGAAAAAGAAAGAAAAAAGAGAGAGAGAAGGGAUGAGGUUAGUGACAGGUGUGCUGGGUAAAGGAAACAGCAUUUGUGCAGCAGAAUGUCAUGUAUCUGGAACCCUGGAACUGUCGAUUAUGACCUCAAACUGAGGACACUCAGGAGAAUUCACAUAACUAUGAAGCAGGACUAAUCACCAUUCCCAAGGCAGGACUCCCACCACAGGCAGGACAGCAGAGACUAACAUUAUGCCAAUUGCCAGAAAUAGGAGUCCACACAUUUCCGCCCACUGCAUCCUGGCCUGAAGUUCUACCAGUGUCUGCUGGAGACAACUCACAUUCGCAUGCAACAAAUUUUGUGAGACAGGGUUUCAUCAUGUUCGUCAGGCUGGUCUUGAACUGCGGACCUCAGGUGAUCCGCCCACCUUGGCCUCCAAAGUGCUUGGAUUACAGGCGUGAGCCACCACACCUGGCCGCUUUAGAGCUCUUUUAAUAACACUUCACUGCUACAUCCCGAAGUUAAGCAAAAGAAGCAAAAAUAAAGAUAAAAUGGAAAGUCCUGCUCCA
rnacentral:lncRNA from 13 species